rnacentral:rRNA from 1 species
CCUACGGGAGGCAGCAGUGGGGAAUGUUGGACAAUGGGCGCAAGCCUGAUCCAGCUAUUCCGCGUGUGGGAAGACGGCCUUCGGGGUGUAAACCACUUUUGGAGAGAAAGAAAAGUCUAUUGAGAAUACCGAUAGAUGAUGACGGUACUAAAAGAAAAAGCACAGGCUAACUACGUGCCAGCAGCCGCGGUAAUACGUAGGGUGCGAGCGUUGAUCGGAAUUACUGGGCGUACAGGGUGGGCAGGCGGUUUUGCAAGAUGGAGGUGACAGCCCCGGGCUUAACCUGGGAAAGUCAUACCUGACUGCAAGACUAGAGUGCGUCAGAGGCAGGUGGAAUUCCUAGUGUAGCCGUGACAUGCGUAGAUAUUU